GUGACCUUUGUUUUCCAAACAUGUCCUGUGAAUGCUCUUCUUUCCCUUUGUAUCCCCAGAUUCGUACCCCUUUCCUUAACUCAGGAUGCUAUAUAUGCUUCAAUUACCUGGCUGCCCUUUGAGUCUCAUAUUUUCCUGGGGCUCCCAUAUGUAUGAAAUUAGUGUGUUUUUCUCCUGUUAAUCUGUCUUACAUCAAUUUAAUUAUUAAACCAGCCAAAGAACCUGGAAGGGAAAAAGGGAAAAUUUUUCUGCCCCUUUAGUUGUCAACCUCAAAAGAACCUUCCCUGCUGGACGCUGCUCCCUCUGCGGCUGCUGCAGCUGAGAGAUCCUGGAACCUCUGACAAAAGCCAGUAGAAGUUAUUGUUUUACUCGGAUGUUUUUUGUAAAAGUGCUGCUGCAAAAGUUCUUCAUCUUCAAGGAGAUUCAUGGAAGGGACUCUGGCAAGCAAAUGUUUUUGAUAACUUUAAGAUCAUAAAAUGACCUGGAUGGAACUAAUGAGGCUAUACAGCAAUGAGAGAACCAGUUUAAUACCAAGAAAAAGCUCAUUAGAAUAAAAAUGACCAACUACCAUUUUUCUCAAGGUUCUAUUCCUUGUUCCACAACUAAAUAAAUAUGUGAUUUUAGGACCUAUUUUGGAGAAGAAUAUAGUUACAUUUUCUCCAAGGAUAACUUAUGCACCUAACAAAAAAGGUAACAUCUUGGGCCCGCCUCGUGGCUUAGCGGUU